CUCUUUCUCGAUUCAGUGGAUGGUGGUGCAUGGCCGUUCUUAGUUGGUGGAGUGAUCUGUCUGGUUAAUUCCGAUAACGAACGAGACUCUCCCCUGCUAACUAGUCGGUUGGAUCUUGAUCAGUGGGUUGAGUGCCGAGUAACUCUCGCUGUGCGUGUUGUAUGUCGCGUUCCUCACGGUUCGUUGCGUGCUCAUGUGUGGCGUUGGAUGCCUUGGAUCACACUGCACCCCAAGUCCGCCGCUUUGCUAUAACUCUUCUUAGAGGGAUUCACGGCACUGAAGCCGUAAGAGACUGAGAGCAAUAACAGGUCUGUGAUGCCCUUAGAUGCUCUGGGCCGCACGCGCGCUACAAUGCCGGGCACAGCAGGUGUUUCUCCUGCUCCGACAGGAGCGGGUAACCCUCUGAAAGCCAGUGUUCUUGCAAGUGCUUCCUCCUUCGUGGAGUUGCACAGAGGCGUGCUUGGGCCUGGGACUUGCAAUUCUUUCCCACCAACGAGGAAUGCCUAGUAGCGGCGGGUCACUGAGCCCGCUGUGACUCAGUCCCUGCCCUUUGUACACACCGCCCGUCGCUACUACCGAUUGGGUGUACCAGUGAGAGCCUUGGACUGGCGUCCGUUGUUGCUCGCAAGAGUGACAAGCGGGUCCGACGGAAAGAGGUCCGAACUGGUGCACUUAGAGGAAGUAAAAGUCGUAACAAGGUUUCCGUAGGUGAACCUGCGGAAGGAUCA
rnacentral:rRNA from 1 species